rnacentral:rRNA from 1 species
CCUACGGGUGGCAGCAGUGGGGAAUAUUGGGCAAUGGGCGCAAGCCUGACCCAGCAACGCCGCGUGAAGGAAGAAGGCUUUCGGGUUGUAAACUUCUUUUCUCAGGGACGAAGCAAGUGACGGUACCUGAGUAAUAAGCCACGGCUAACUACGUGCCAGCAGCCGCGGUAAUACGUAGGUGGCAAGCGUUAUCCGGAUUUACUGGGUGUAAAGGGCGUGUAGGCGGGAAAGCAAGUCAGAUGUGAAAGCCAUGGGCUCAACCUGUGGAUUGCAUUUGAAACUGGUUUUCUUGAGUACAGGAGAGGCAGACGGGAUUCCUAGUGUAGCGGUGAAAUGCGUAGAUAUGAGGAGGAACACCAGUGGCGAAGGCGGUUUGCUGGACAGCAACUGACGCUGAGGCGCGAAAGCGUGGGGAGCAAACAGGAUUAGAUACCCGGGUAGUC